rnacentral:misc_RNA from 1 species
AAUGUGGAUGGGUUUGAUACUUUAUUGUGUUUGAUCUAUAAAAUUCUUAACGCCUGUUCUUAUGCUUGAAAAGAAAUAUACCAUAAAAAUAAUGUAGCUUGUCUAUUUUUACUUGAAAGACCAGAGGCUUGCUAAUCUCUAAAUCCUAAAUCCUAAACAUAAGCGAAUGACAUGGGAAAAGGAUAAUUUUUACAUUAUAUUAGUCAUUUUAGGAUAAUAACAACCCCAGAUGAUUUUGUGAAUGGGGAGUGAAUUGCUAUCCUCCGGUGAAACAACACGCAGAUUGGCUCUUAAGUUACAAUGGGCCAUGGCUAAGAGACUUUUGGUUAGAAUACAUGAGCUGCUGAGUGCUUGGCACAUGAUGAACCAAAAUAUCACCCCAUUGCACACGUUCUCUUACAAAAUUUAAGUCAACUUCUAGAUGUGCCGUUCGAGUACGAUUCACUGGGUUGGCUGCUAGAUAUGUUGUGGAGAGAUUAUCACAAAAAACUUCAAUGGGUAAUCAAAGAGACAUGAAGAUCAUGUAGCAGGAUAGCUAUUGCAGCCAGCACACCUCAGCUACCACAGCUGCUAGGGCCCUAAAUUCGGCUUUUACGCUGCUUUUGGAAAUUGUAUGUUAGCUUCUUGAUGUCCAAGAAACAAGAUUGUGACCCAUGAAUCCACAGAACCCUGUAGUUGAACUUGAAUAGUGUUGCAUUUUGGCAGCCUGCCAAAUCUACAUCGCUAUAUGCAACCAAACUUUUCACAGGAGCUGAAAACAAUUGUAAACCAUAGUGCAAUGUGCCUUUAAUAUACUGCAAUAAGCAAAGCAAUGACCAAUGUGAAUCUAAG